rnacentral:rRNA from 1 species
UCUGGUUGAUCCUGCCAGUAGUGAUAUGCUUGUUUCAAAGAUUAAGCCAUGCAUGUCUAAGUAUAAGCGAACUUAUACAGUGAAACUGCGGAUGGCUCAUUAAAACAGUUUGAAUUUAUUUGAUGAAUGUAUGAGAAUACUACUUGGAUAACCGUAGUAAUUCUAGAGCUAAUACAUGCAACGACGCCCGACCGUUUCACUACGGAAGGGCUGUAUUUAUUGGAUACCAAAACCAUCCUUCCCUCGGGAAGUUUUGUUUGAUGAUUCACAAUAACUGAUCGGAUCGCCACUGUGGUGGCGACAGGUCAUUCAACAUUCUGCCCUAUCAGCUUUCGAUGGUUGUGUAGUGGACAACCAUGGCCAUAACGGGUAACGGAGAAUCAGGGUUCGAUUCCGGAGAAGGAGCUUGAGAAUUGGCUACUACAUCUAAGGAAGGCAGCAGGCGCGCAAAUUACCCAAUCCCGAUUCGGGGAGGUAGUGACAAAAAAUAACCAUACCGGGCCUUUUUGGGCUUGGUAAUUGGAAUGAGGGAGAGUUAAACGGACCAUCGAGUAUCCAUUGGAGGGCAAGUCUGGUGCCAGCAGCUGCGGUAAUACCAGCUCCAAUAGCGUAUAUUAAAGUUGUUGCAGUUAAAAAGCUCGUAGUUGGACUUGUGUGCGCUGUCCGCGGGUGGCCUGCGCCCAAAAGGGCGUUUCGGUUCGGCCCCGGUGGCGCCUUGAAAUCUGCAGCUGGGGGGACGUUGGCCUUAACUGGUCGGCGACCGCACGCCGGCUGCUCGGUUACUGUGAGAAAGUUAGAGUGUUCAAGGCAGGCAUUGGGUGCAAUUGAAUACAUUAGCAUGGAAUAAUAAAAUAUGGCUCCUGCCGUAUUUUGUUGGUUUUGACUGGUGGGAGUAAUGAUUGAUAGGGACGGUUGGGGGUGCUAGUAUUGAGCGGCCAGAGGUGAAAUUCAUGGAUUCGCUCAAGACUAACUUAUGCGAAAGCAUUCACCAAGGACGUCCUCUUUAAUCAAGAACGAAAGUUGGGGGAUCGAAGACGAUCAGAUACCGUCGUAGUCUCAACCAUAAACUAUGUCGACUUGGGAUCGGCGGUAGUUUUUUCAUUAAGACACUGUCGGGACCACGGGAGAAAUCAAAGUGUCUGGACUCUGGGGGAAGUAUGGUCGCAAGGCUGAAACUUGAAGGAAUUGACGGAAGGGCACCACCAGGAGUGGAGCCUGCGGCUUAAUUUGACCCAACACGGGGAAAC